GGAGGUAGUGACAAUAAAUCUCAAUACGAAGCCUUUGGUUUUGUAAUUGAAUUGAGAACAAUGUACAAUCGUUAUCGAUAAACAAUUGGAGGGCAAGUCUGGUGCCAGCAGCCGCGGUAAUUCCAGCUCCAAUAGCGUAUAUUAACGUUGUUGCAGUUAAAAAGCUCGUAGUUGAAGUUUAGAUAAUUUAUUGAAAGUGUUUGUAUUCGUACAUUCUACUUUUAUGUAAGUUAUCGACAUCCAGGUGGGUGCCAUGGUUCCGCAAGGAAUCGUGGUACUAGACUGGUCAUUUACUGUGAGAAAAUUAGAGUGUUUAAAGCAGACUUUCUAAAUAGUUUGAAUAGAUUAGCAUGGAAUAAUAAGAUUGGCUUUCAUAGUCGAUUUUUUGGUUUGUUUAUGAAAGCAAGAUUAAUAGGGACAGUUGGGGGUAUUCAUAUUCAAUAGCUAGAGGUGAAAUUCUAUGAUUUAUGGAAGAUGAACAAGUGCGAAAGCAA
rnacentral:rRNA from 1 species